rnacentral:rRNA from 1 species
AACGAACGCUGGCGGCAUGCCUAACACAUGCAAGUCGAACGAGACCUUCGGGUCUAGUGGCGCACGGGUGCGUAACGCGUGGGAACCUGCCCUUAGGUUCGGAAUAACUCCCCGAAAGGGGUGCUCAUACCGGAUAAUGUCUUCGGACCAAAGUUUUUACGCCUUUGGAUGGGCCCGCGUUGGGUUAGCUAGUUGGUAGGGUAAAAGCCUACCCAGGCGACGAUCCAAGGUUGGUCUGAGAGGAUGAACAGCCACACUGGGACUGAGACACGGCCCAGACACCUCCGGGAGGGACCAGGGGGAAGUGUUGGACAGUGGACGAAAGCUGGACCCAAAAGAGCGGCAGGAGUGAAGAAGGGCUUAGGGUGAUAAAAGUUUUUUCCCGGGAUUAGAAAGGGCCGUCCCGGGGGGAAAAGCCCCGGCUAACCCCUU